GUGCCAGCAGCCGCGGUAAUACGUAGGGUGCGAGCGUUAAUCGGAAUUACUGGGCGUAAAGCGAGCGCAGACGGUUAAAUAAGUCAGAUGUGAAAUCCCCGAGCUCAACUUGGGACGUGCAUUUGAAACUGUGUAACUAGAGUGUGUCAGAGGGAGGUAGAAUUCCACGUGUAGCAGUGAAAUGCGUAGAGAUGUGGAGGAAUACCGAUGGCGAAGGCAGCCUCCUGGGAUAACACUGACGUUCAUGCUCGAAAGCGUGGGUAGCAAACAGGAUUAGAUACCCUGGUAGUCCACGCUGUAAACGGUGGAUGCUGGAUGUGGGGCCCGUUCCGCGGGUUCUGUGUCGGAGCUAACGCGUUAAGCAUCCCGCCUGGGGAGUACGGUCGCAAGAUUAAAACUCAAAGGAAUUGACGGGGACCCGCACAAGCGGUGGAUGAUGUGGAUUAA
rnacentral:rRNA from 1 species